GACGAACGCUGGCGGCGUGCUUAACACAUGCAAGUCGAACGGUGAACGAGGGAGCUUGCUCCCUCCGGAUCAGUGGCGAACGGGUGAGUAACACGUGAGCAAUCUGCCCCGAACUCUGGGAUAAGCGUUGGAAACGACGUCUAAUACCGGAUACGACGCGGGAGGGCAUCCUCUCCGCGUGGAAAGAACUUCGGUUUGGGAUGAGCUCGCGGCCUAUCAGCUUGUUGGUGAGGUAACGGCUCACCAAGGCGACGACGGGUAGCCCGCCUGAGAGGGUGACCGGCCCCACUGGGACUGAGACACGGCCCAGACUCCUACGGGAGGCAGCAGUGGGGAAUAUUGCACAAUGGGCGCAAGCCUGAUGCAGCAACGCCGCGUGAGGGACGACGGCCUUCGGGUUGUAAACCUCUUUUAGCAGGGAAGAAGCGAAAGUGACGGUACCUGCAGAAAAAGCACCGGCUAACUACGUG
rnacentral:rRNA from 1 species